GCUGUUCUUCGGCCGGCGUCGCGCUCACGUGCGCGGGAUUCCUCCCUGGCUCCGCUCUGUAUAUUUAACCAAUCCUCAGCUCUCAUCUUCCAAAAGUUCUCACCUGCGCCGUCGGUCACCGGUCGGCCACCAGGAUCUCACGGCCGCUAUGCGCGCUGAGAGAGAAAAAUCGAGUGGAGGAGAGAGAAAAUUGGGGGCUGCAUGAGUUCAUCCGAAGCCGAUCCUUGGACCCUCCUAUACCUAUUGCUUAGCUUCCCCGGCUGUCCACCAUCGCGCGCCAAGAGCACCGUGCGGGCGUGGCCGAUUUCCCCCAGGCAGGAACUUCACCUCCGAACUGACCACGGCGCAUGGACCUCGGGUGAGAACCCUUAGCCGCUUCUGUUUAAUUCAUCCAUGCUUGUAGUACUCUGUAGGCUAGGAUUUCAGGGCUCUGACGACUGGUGCGUCGUGGGCUGGUGAUAAUGUUUAGUGGGCGCUGCUGUUCUGGGAGCUCGCUGCGCCAUGGUGGCCCUCGGACGCUCCCUGGACUGCCUUGCGAGGCGAGAGGAUUGGCGAGGGAGGUUGAAGAUGGACUGGGCGCCGUAGAUUGAGAAUGGGUGGUCCCGAUUAGCUUAACUUAACGCUUCAGAUGAACGAACCUAGGGCGUUAGUUCGUAGACGAUCGGUUAGAUUUGAUCAUGGCGUGAAUCACUGCUGAUCGCUGAUCUCUGAUCGGGCGGCAGUAGAAACGUACCGGUUCAUCUUUUAGCAGAUGUAAUCGUGGCCCUUCGGUUCAGAUCGGACGGCCAGAACUGUUCCGAUACCCCCCUUCGGUCGUGGCAUUUUGUGUAAGAGUCCCUGGACUUAUUGCUAAUCAGCCCGCCAUCCGUGGAAGUUCAAAAAGAAUUACGAUUCAGUCCUUUUUAUUCCGGAUAGGUCCCUGUCCUUUAGGAAAAUUGAAUCUGACGUCCUACUAUUGGCCAGAAAAUUAUUAUUAAACAUAAAAUUUAUCCAUAAACUUGUUUAAUUAAUAACUUUCACAUUUUAACUCCGUUUUGCCCCGUUCUAAUUGCGUUGGACCCGUAUUAAUAUUGCCUACGCCAUAGUAAAAUUAUUUUACCAUGUAACAUGUUCUCAAAAAUAAAUAAUUAAUUUGUCCAACCCAUGGUUAUUGAAUUAACAUGAUUAAUGUGGGUUACUAUGGGAUUUUAAUUAUGAUCAUCUACUGGAAUAUGAUUCUAUUAUAACUAAGAUUAAAAGUUGAGUUAGCUACAUCUUUUCUCACAUGAUUUAUUUUAAUCACCAUAAUAUAUAGUUUUAUUGAUUAAUCACUUAGAACCUAGUAAAUCAUAUCUCCUUAACCACGACUCGAUCUUAGUGGUUCUCGAUCCCUCGAUUUCGUUACGACACGUAGAUCAUUAUUAUUCGGUUUGUACUUAUGUUUGGUGUGAUGUUAAUUUUGUCUAUACCAUGUCUGUUUGUAUUGCUACGACUAGCGCGAGGACACGUGUCAUCUGAAAAGCAAGUUGGUACCUGGAAUCUCAAGUGCCAGGCAAGUUGUGCCCUUGAUCACUUCUUUUUACCCCACUCAUGUUCUAAUUAAUCAUAAUGAUCUGCAUAGGUUAAUUUUGAUGGGACCCAAUAGGUUACCCUAGUUUGUCUAUCUUUAUACCUUGUUUACCACUGAACUUUUUGGGUAGUACUUGCUAGUGCUUUAUGUGGUUUUGGGUAUGAAGAUACAUUAAUCAUGAUCACACUGUUAUUAUCUGUUUAUUAUUACUGUUCAUGAUAAGAUCAUUAUGUUAAUUGGAACAUGGAGAACCACCCGGGAAAACAGUGCUACCACAAGGGAGGAAUGGGACCCCUUGGCUGAUUAAUUAGGAAAGCUAGUGGAAGACUACCUUACCCGAAAGGGGCAAGGGCAGUAGGGGAGUGGUCAGUGUAGGGAGGCCCUCGGGAGGAUUUUGCUGCGAUGGCGGUCCUGCAAGGGAUUCCUGCAUUGGAGCUUUCAAUAAACUGUAGCGGGUUUUCUGAAGCUAGUGGAACUUUGUAAAGGCCUCGUAGUGUUACCCUGCCUCGCCUCCUCGGUAGAGGUGUUUGGGAAGUCGCGAUCCCUUGGCAGAUGGGUAACAUGACUUGUGGGUAAAGAUGCGCAACCUCUGCAGAGUGUAAAACUGGUAUACUAGCCGUGCUCACGGUCAUGAGCGGCUCGGACCCUCACAUGAUUAAAUUAUGGAACUUAAACUCAAUUUGUCAUAUGCAUUGCAUCGCAGGUGAGGUUGUUACUUUUGUUCUACUACUUAACUGGGUUUGGUAUUUACUUAUACUUAGUAAUUGCUAAUAAAAUUUUGACCAACUUUAAAAGCAAUGCUCAGCUUCAACCAUCCUCUUUGGUAAGCCUUACACUUCACAUGAACUCCCACUUUUGGCGAGUUCAUUCACAUUAUUCCCCACAACUUGUUGAGCGAUGAACGUAUGUGAGCUCACUCUUGCUGUCUCACACCCCCCCCCACAGGUCAAGAGCAGGUACCACAGGAUGAGGCGCAUGAAGGAUGCUGUGAUGAGUUCGUGAGUGGUCUAGGCCGUCGUCUCCCAGUCAACUUUGGGUUGCUGGAUCGUUUCCUCAUAUGAUGUAAUUACUUAUUUUGUACAGAACUCCUGUUAUAUAGUAAAGAUGUGACAUUCGAUCCUGUGCCACUAUGCAUCAUAUGUGUGAGACUUGGUCCCAGCACACCUGGUGUUUAUGUUCGCGCCCGGGUUUUUGACCCCUAAAACCCGGGUGUGACAGAAGUGGUAUCAGAGGAAUAUUGACUGUAAGACGAAACCUAGAUAGAACUGGACAACCAAUACUUACUUAUCUUUGCUACUCUGAUUCUUUUCUAAACUUUUCUUAAUCUUUUCUCAUCUAUUUUCGCUUUACUCUGAUUAUUCUUACCUUUUCAUUCUAAAGACAAAUGUGGAUUUCACACUUUGAAAUCCUGUGCCUAAAGUGACUUUAGGAAUAGGAGACCUACUCUUAGGAACAAAAACAAAACUAUUUUUAUAGGUAUUUGUAUGCUUGAAUGUUUGUUCUUAUGAUACUUGUUUGAUUUGGAUCUUUGAUUGAGUGUGAUUAGUUGUGGAGUAAUGUCCACAAUUACAUCUGCAUAUACAUAUAAGCAUAAAUAGAAUUCAUAAGAUAACUAAACAGCCUAGAUUACUCUCCAUUAAAGUGUAUCUAUUUUAAUAGAUCAAUCUUAUCUUGAAAGAUUCUUUCCUAUCUUAAUAGAUUCUCUUAUCUUAAAAGAUACUCUCCUAUAUUAAUAGAUCCAUUUUAUCUUAAAAAGAUUCUCUUUUAUUUUAAAAGAUUCUCUUUUAUAUUAAAAAAAAGAUUCUACCCUUUUCUACUAGAUCUAAUUAAUCUCAAAAGAUUAUGUCUUAAUCGUAGAGACUUGUCUUGUUCUAACAAGCAUACUUAUCCCAACCACUUGGCUUAUAUCAUAACCUUCUAACGAAUAUGAUCUAUUCCCACCUAACAACGAACAAACUUUUGACCUACAUCAUGUAGUCUAUCUUACCCAUAUCUAUCUUAACUAUAUCACCCAACUCCGAUGAUAUACACUAACCUCAAAUUAAAGAGACCAAGACUGGAGAAGAAAAGAUAAACCUCGUUAAGGAAGGAGAGAAGUCAAACUCAAUCUUCAGAUGCAUUACCGCCCAACACGGAGUUCUUUCCCACCAUAAACUUUCUUACCACAUGCUCUUCUUGCCCUAACCUACCCAUAUUUUAUAAUAAAAUGACUAUACAAAUAGAUACCCAUGCUUUCCUAGCCACUUUCUAAUUAACAAGAAACUUCUUAUUCUUGAACUAAUUAGAAAUUAAAAGUAAACUAUAAAUAAAGCUUUUUACAUCCCUGUCCUUACAAAUCUCGGGGACGAGAUUUCUGUUAAGGGGUAGGAUUUGUAAGACCCAAAAUUUAUAUGAGAAAAAAAUAAUAAAAUAAAUAUAUGUAGUAUUCCUAUCAUAAACUAUAUAAUUAGAAAAUACUUUUCAAAAUAUUCAAGUAACCCUUGAUGGAAGAUGUAAAUUACUAAAACAAGCAAGUAAUAAAUAUGAAUUUUCUUUAAUACUUUUAAAAUAAUCUUCUUGGAUUAAAUAAUGUGUGAAGUAUUCAUUUAAGAAUUAUAUGCUCGAGGCAAUAGAUUUGGUUAAAAUUGAGAAAUGAGGACACUAUUAUUUUGAUCAACUUUAGGCUUGAAUAUUGGUAAAGAAGUAUAAACUGAAAUCUAAAAAAAACAAAAAAACAAAACUCCGUGUGGGAUGAUUUACCCUUGGCCAUAGUUCAUACGUAUAUCUUUUUGCUUGCCAGGAAUGACAUCAUCGCAAGCUCAUUCAUGAAAACAUCAAUAUCUCAAUGACGUGUGGGCUCCACUAGCCGGUCUCCCCCGCGUGUGCUCGCUACUCUGCUGUGUGGACCCCAUGCAUCGGACUUAUCUCCUCCCCAAAUCCGCGCCAGAGCUUUCUUCCCCGUGAAAAAUCGGAAUCGCGCGCAACUGAUGCCGUGGUUUCAGGCGGGUCAAUGGGAUUUGCUGUUCUUCGGCCGGCGUCGCGCUCACGUGCGCGGGAUUCCUCCCUGGCUCCGCUCUGUAUAUUUAACCAAUCCUCAGCUCUCAUCUUCCAAAAGUUCUCACCUGCGCCGUCGGUCACCGGUCGGCCACCAGGAUCUCACGGCCGCUAUGCGCGCUGAGAGAGAAAAAUCGAGUGGAGGAGAGAGAAAAUUGGGGGCUGCAUGAGUUCAUCCGAAGCCGAUCCUUGGACCCUCCUAUACCUAUUGCUUAGCUUCCCCGGCUGUCCACCAUCGCGCGCCAAGAGCACCGUGCGGGCGUGGCCGAUUUCCCCCAGGCAGGAACUUCACCUCCGAACUGACCACGG
rnacentral:lncRNA from 1 species